GACGAACGCUGGCGGCGUGCUUAACACAUGCAAGUCGAACGCUGAACCCGCUUCGGUGGGGGAUGAGUGGCGAACGGGUGAGUAACACGUGGGCAACCUGCCCCCGGCUCUGGGAUAACUCCAAGAAAUUGGGGCUAAUACCGGAUGUGACCGCUGGCCGCAUGGUCUGGUGGUGGAAAGGGUUUCCGGCUGGGGAUGGGCCCGCGGCCUAUCAGCUUGUUGGUGGGGUAGUGGCCUACCAAGGCGACGACGGGUAGCCGGCCUGAGAGGGUGACCGGCCACACUGGGACUGAGACACGGCCCAGACUCCUACGGGAGGCAGCAGUGGGGAAUAUUGCGCAAUGGGCGGAAGCCUGACGCAGCGACGCCGCGUGGGGGAUGACGGCCUUCGGGUUGUAAACCUCUUUCAGCAGGGACGAAGCGCAAGUGACGGUACCUGCAGAAGAAGCGCCGGCCAACUACGUG
rnacentral:rRNA from 1 species